AAAAAACGAUAUCUACCAAAAGGAGUAUUAAAAGUACAUAGUUUAGAGCUCUCUUGCCAAAAUCCAUGAUUAGCAUAGAGUACUGAAAAUAUUUUUGCGUUUGGCAUUUCAGAUAUUAUUUCUUCAACUGUGCGUAACACGUAGUGUUCUCUCUUUAUGGCUUUAUUAAAGGACAAGUUCGGUAUUUUACACUUAAAGCCCUGUUUUCAGAUUGUUUAUGGUGAAAUAGAAUGGUUUUGACAGAAAUUUCGACAUAUGCGGCUGCCCUGAGAAUUUGCGGGUGUUUGUGUUUCGCCUCACACCUCUACAAUGGGUUUAAUGGUGCACUGGAACAAUCCUUCCUAAAAUACAUUAAACUUUCGUUUACAAAGACGUGAAACUCACCGAGUGGUCAGGGGUGUUCACUGAUAUGCUCACACAAAAAUCGCUGCAAAAGAUGCUUUCCAACAGCUGUUUUAGCAUUCGUUGUUAACUUGUGGACCUUUUUUUCCAAACGCCUCACACCCGUACAUUCUUCCGCUUAGAGCUUGAAUAAUAGACACUCCAGCCCAGUUGGUGGCGAUAAUCCACCUUUGCCAAUUGCAAGAAUACAAACAACGUUCCUGGCGGCGGAGUAAUACCGUACCUCACAGCACAUCUAAUACGAGUCAAUGGGCUUGGACAAAAUCUACGAUAAAACCUGUUUUACCCAUUUGCGCCUGAUGCUGCGUGACGCAACAUUACAUCUACCGCCGGUUACUUUUAUUUCAUGUUUCUAAAGUGCUACAGAGGCUUAGAUAUUACGUUUUUAGUAGACGUUGACAUAGUAGUAUUACUAGACGUAGUAUUUUUUUCACCAUACUGUUAACGCAAUCAGUGGGCUCGGUUUGCUUCACGAUAACUCCAAGAUCCUCCAUCCUUUUCAGUUCCAUUUAUACCCUUUCCUUUAGUGCUUCAGGUAUUUUCUGUGGUGCAUGAAUGACUGGAGCAACAUCUGGGUUUAGCUGUAUAUUGUGCAGUCCUGAUACACAUCCUAACCCAGAAAACUCUUUGUAUUCACUCAGUAUGUCACUUUGAUCCUUAUUCUCUACUUUGUAAACUCUUUUAAUCAGUCCAUUUUGAGCAUGCUUCUCUGCCUAGAACAGCUGGUGAGUUUUCAUUUACUAUUUGGAAUUCUAGCCCAAACUCAUUCUCUUUGAAAUCACAUUUAAGCAUGGCCUUAACCUUUUCGUGUGGCCAGAAUAAGUAACCUGCAGUUCGACUUCGUCAACAGUGUGGCCUUGUUAGUGAUUUUUUCAAAGUCUUUAUAUGACAACAUGUUACACUCAGCUCCCGUGUCUAGCUUAAAGGUAAGUAUACAGUUGUUUAUUUUGAAUUCUUGAGUUAAUUUCUCAUUUUCAGCUGUAUAGACAGUAUUCAUUUGUACCUCCUGUUCCUUAGCUGUUUGCUCUUGUUGUCUAAUCUCAAUGGUACCCAUAAACAUUUCUUCUUGUCCUAUGUCGUGAACGUUCUUCUCAAACUUUCUAGACAUGCCUUUUUGUUUUGGCGUUUUGCACAUGCGGCUAAAAUGGUUCUUCUGUGAGGACUCAUUACAUAUUUUGCCAUAUGCUGGGCAUUUCCUGUGCUUAUCCACAUCUCAUGCAUUUGUCUUUCUCUUUUCCUUUCUGCCUAACCUUAGCUUGUCUGACAGUUGAUUUUGUUUGUCGUAAUUUUAUUCGCAACUACUUCUGCUUCUUCUAACACUUUCAUGUGGUUUUGUGUUACUUAGUUUAUGGCUAACGUUAGUUCACAGAGUUAAAGAUAUGAUCAGAUUUUCUCCAGAGGUUAGAUAUAAACAUCUCCAUCGUGGAUCGUCGACUGCAGAUAAUAUUUUUUUGUUUGGAGUGUGAGAGCCAGAGAUGGAACGAUCAGUAAAGCUGCUUCUCAGAUACAGUAAGUUGCAAAAGUUUGUUUUGUUAUGUUGAUCAUGUAUUUACAGUUUUUUUUUGUUUCAUGUUGUUUUUUGAUUAUAAAAAUAACAGUGGAGAUGACUAAGGCAUGAGUUUUACAUGGGUUCAUUUGUCUAUGACAUGUUAUGUAAAUGCAUUUUUAUGAAUCUGAUGGAUAAAAUAUAUAAAAACUAAAAACAAGAAAAUAAGAUAAGUGGGGGAAAAUAUGAGUAUUACCAGCAAUGCUGACCAUUAUAAUCAUAAGUUAUUUGGCAAACAUAAGGCAUUUGUAAUUAUAAAGUGUGUGUGCCAACGUGUGUGUUUUCUCCUUGUGAUGUAAAACAGGCCUUCAACUGACACAGAUAAGCAAGGACUGGAAUCUGGAGUCCAUUCCCGAGCGACCACAUUCAACAUAACAAGUAUUUUGUUAUAAUGUACAAAUAUUUUUUUCUGAAAUAGUUUUGUGCUUCGGUGGGCAGAUAAGUUUUGAAUUGAUAGCCAUGUAGUAUGUAGUGCUCUUUCUUAUUUUGUUAUUUUGGAAUCUCCUGGUGCACUUAAAAAAAGCUCACACACUGCAAAAAAUAUAAAUAUUAUUUAUAAUGACUUAUUUUCUUGGGUUGUUUUGCUCAUCAAGAAAAAGCAUUCUAAUUUAAGAAUAUUUAGAUAUUUUUACUGAAAACAAGACCAAAAUACUAAGAUUUCUUUUCUUGAAAAUAAUUUUUUCCAGUGCAGAAACUAAAUUUUUUGGAGUAUCAUUCUUAAAUUUGAAUCAUAAGACAUUCACUUUACCUUUAUGGUGACCCCGGGUGUUUGACAUGACAAUUUCAUAUAUUUGUGAAUGUUUUUCAAAGAAAUCGAAAGUCAUUUAUGUAUAUUUUACCUUGUUUUACUCUGUUCCUAUAGACGCUUUCAUCGGACACAUCCAGUUUCGUUUUUUUAAUGGUCUGGCUAGUUGCUAAACUGAUCUCUUGAACAAAUGCCUUGUCAAAAAUAACAAAUGUUUUGGUUUCCUAGGUGAUCUAUGUGUUGUUUUUUUGCUUGUUAUACAAAUAAACACCGUUUAAAGAACUUUGUUGUUAUUUAUUCUUAGCGGAGUUUACCGGAAGUUACAUGCCGACCACGACAGCCGCAUGUUUAUGUAGUUACAGCUGAAACCGUCUCUCUGAGGUGUUGGGCAAAAAUAUGUCACGUGUCUAGUUUCAAACAAGACUAGAAUUAUGAAUAUAGUCCAUAGGCUUUAAGAGCUGCAGACAUUUUAUUUUGGGUAUGUUGAUUUUCAGAAAAUGCUCAAAAAUGAAAGUGCCGGCUAACAGGUUCGUAUUUGUUAAACUUGCAUUAACACAUUCACUGUCAUGUAUCUGCAAACUUUCUUUCUUGCUUUGACAGCAGGAGAGAAACACUAUAUUACUUGCUUGAUAUUUGUGCAUGAUUAUUAUUACUAUCACUGAACUACCAUUGCAUGAAGGAUGACUGUAUGUACUGCUAUGAGACACAUGUAUUACAAUUUUGAUAUUGUAAAUCUAUUAAAAAAAGAAAAUGUAAUAAACAAAGAACUAGCUUGACCAGUCAGUAAAACCAGAUGUAUGCAGCUUUGCCAGGCUUGGAGGGCCAGCGUAAACCAGCUGAGACCAUCUUACAAGCUUUCAGCCUGGUAAAGCUGGUUUUUUCGAUCUGAACAGCUAAAAGUGGGCCCUAAAAACCUCUAAAACCAGUCUGCUACACCAGCUAAAACCAAGCUGGGAGACCAGACCAGUCAACUAGCUUAGGUCCACGUGCUCAUCUCCACUCAAACCCUUGUAGAGAAAUGAAACAGUGACUGCAUGUUUGAUCUACAGUCGCCACCUGGUGGUGAUAAAAAUGAAUAGCAUUAACAGAAAGUGUGACUUCAACAUGUUUUUGGUGGUAUAUUAUUUAGCUUUAAGGUAAAUUUAACAGUGAAUGAAGAUGUUUCUUAAACUGUGUUUAGAUGUAGUUCAUAAAGUUCAGAGUAUCAGCAAGUUUGAGAGAUUUCAACAUACAAUCUAUAAUGUAAAAUUAUUGAUACCUUUAAUAAGGUAACAUUUUUAAUAAGGUCUAUCUCUAUUUGUCUGAAAAAAAAAGACAAACCAAAGCUCGGUUCUUAGAAGGUUAACCUUUAGGCUUUAUGUUAUCUUACCAAAGUUAGGAGAUUGUUGCAUAAAAUUGGUUUUGGGGCAGGAAAAAUAAUUGUGGUAGUGGAAACAUUUUUUAAGAUCUUUUCCUCUCAUCUCAUACAGUAUUUUGUCCAUGACCCUUAGUCUCUGUGGUGGUUUUUCAUCACUCAACAUGUCAAAUUUUCUUUAAUGUGUUUAGGAAUUAAUAUUAAGUAGUGUUUAGUGAAUUUAACCCUGCAGUAAACCCAGCAAUAUGUAACUCUGCUGAUGCUUUAACUGCUGUAAGGGAUGAGGGUUUAUAUUUAACUUUAUGUCUGUUUUUGACUGUCUGCCAGUGUUUAACUAUUUGAUAUGUGUGAAGGAUUUUGAGCAAUGAAAAAACUUCAUUUGUGUAUCAUGCAUUAAAAUAUAUGACAUUUGAUGCCUUUUGAUGAUUUAAAUAAAAUGUCCAUUCAA